rnacentral:rRNA from 1 species
UACGAAGGGGACUAGCGUUGCUCGGAAUCACUGGGCGUAAAGGGUGCGUAGGCGGGUCUUUUAAGUCAGGGGUGAAAUCCUGGAGCUCAACUCCAGAACUGCCUUUGAUACUGAAGAUCUUGAGUUCGGGAGAGGUGAGUGGAACUGCGAGUGUAGAGGUGAAAUUCGUAGAUAUUCGCAAGAACACCAGUGGCGAAGGCGGCUCACUGGCCCGAUACUGACGCUGAGGCACGAAAGCGUGGGGAGCAAACAGG